rnacentral:rRNA from 1 species
CAGGCUUAACACAUGCAAGUCGAGGGGCAGCAUUUUAGUUUGCUUGCAAACUAAAGAUGGCGACCGGCGCACGGGUGAGUAACACGUAUCCAACCUGCCGAUAACUCGGGGAUAGCCUUUCGAAAGAAAGAUUAAUAUCCGAUGGUAUAUUAAAACCGCAUGGUUUUACUAUUAAAGAAUUUCGGUUAUCGAUGGGGAUGCGUUCCAUUAGUUUGUUGGCGGGGUAACGGCCCACCAAGACUACGAUGGAUAGGGGUUCUGAGAGGAAGGUCCCCCACAUUGGAACUGAGACACGGUCCAAACUCCUACGGGAGGCAGCAGUGAGGAAUAUUGGUCAAUGGACGAGAGUCUGAACCAGCCAAGUAGCGUGAAGGAUGACUGCCCUAUGGGUUGUAAACUUCUUUUAUAUGGGAAUAAAGUAUUCCACGUGUGGGAUUUUGUAUGUACCAUAUGAAUAAGGAUCGGCUGACUCCGUGCCAGCAGUCGCGGUAAUACGGAGGAUCCGAGCGUUAUCCGGAUUUAUUGGGUUUAAAGGGAGCGUAGGUGGAUUGUUAAGUCAGUUGUGAAAGUUUGCGGCUCAACCGUAAAAUUGCAGUUGAAACUGGCAGUCUUGAGUACAGUAGAGGUGGGCGGAAUUCGUGGUGUAGCGGUGAAAUGCUUAGAUAUCACGAAGAA